UGAGCCUGGGCAAUGUAGCAAGACCACCCCCCCAACCCCACUCCCCAAUCAGUUAAAAAAAAGAGAGAAUUCCAGCAGGAAGAAGUACCCUUUUCCAUGAAUGGUUUGGGAAUUCAAGCAUCAAAUGGCUGAGGUUUGAACUACAGCUCGUGCCAAUAACAUGUGCACAUGCACCAGCAGUCCAGUGUCCAACAGAGCAUGUGCGCACCAUUCCAGCUUCCGGCAACAAUGCACCGGUAGGCCAGUGUCCAACAGAGCAUGCGCGCACCAUUCCAGUAUCCGGCAACAAUGCACCCGCAUUCCAGUGUCCAACAGAGCAUGCGCGCACCAUUCCAGCAACCGGCAACAAUGCACCAGUAGUCCAGUGUCCAACAGAGCAUGCGCGCACCAUUCCAGCAUCCGGCAACAAUGCACCGGUAGUCCGGUGUCCAACAGAGCAUGCGCGCACAUUCUAGUAUCCGGCAACAAUGCACCGGUAGUCCAGUGUCCCACAGAGCAUGCGCGCACCAUUCCAGCAUCCGGCAACAAUGCACCGGUAGUCCGGUGUCCAACAGAGCAUGCGCGCACAUUCUAGUAUCCGGCAACAAUGCACCGGUAGUCCAGUGUCCCACAGAGCAUGCGCACCAUUCCAGCAUCCGGCAACAAUGCACCGGGAGUCCAGUGUCCAGCAGAGCAUGCGCGCACCAUUCCAGCAUCCGGCAACAAUGCACCGGUAGUCCAGUGUCCAACAGAGCAUGCGUGCAUCAUUCCAGUAUCCAGCAACAUGUGUGUCCCCCAACAUCCCGUUGUCCAGUGGCACAUGUGCGCCUGGACGUUCCAGUGUGGUGACCUUUCAGGCACGGAGCAAGGCCAAAGGGAUAAAAAAAUGAAGGUGACACAGUACUUCCCCUUAUAGCUCCCACAGGUCUGGAUAGGCCAGACAGAUCUGGAAAUAAAUAAUUCAUAAUAAAAAAUAAUUACAGAAUAAGUAGUACAACAACCACAGAUAGAAGGUACUGAGUAAAUCUGUAAGAAAUGGCUGCUUUGCUUUUGUUUUUGCUUAACAUGAGAAACGUAUUGAGUAUCAGCAGUUUCACUUGGUUCUAUAGAAUCUCUUUGGAGCCCAGUGAAAGGAGGACUCUGGAAAGGCCUCGGUGUGGAUGGGAGCCUCUCCCUGUGUGGACAAGCAUCCCCUGGGCUGCCCAGAGCUGAAGCAACCCCACUGUGCCUACCACUGCACAAUUGCUACCUCCUGUCUAUACAUGGUCUCCAAAAAGUGCCCUCAAAUGGGUCUGCUCCUAACUCAUUCCCUGUCAGUUCAGGGAACCUUCACCACUCCCCGACCCCACCCCCCACCCCAACCCCACCCCUCCAGCUUCAGGGAAAGCCUGUCAUCAGGCAGAAGGGUCCUGAAAUGCAGGCCCUGCCCUUUCCACUAGUCUAAGGCAAAACACUCUCCCUGGUCCUCAUCCCACACGGCCCCAGGCCACACUCCCUGAGCACUUGCCCUCUUCUCCCGGUGCCAGGCAGGUGCCCUCCAGCCUACCCAGCCUUGGGCUGUAUCAGGAUCUACCAAGGGCUUGUUAAGCUCACAUGGCUGGGCUCUGAUGGCUCCUUGCUGAUCCAGGAGGUCUGGGGUGGGGCCUGAGGAUGUGCAUUUCUAGCAAAAUUCCCUGGGAUGUUGAAUGUGUUGGUCCACAUUUUGAGAACCACUGCUGAAAUCUGUUGCAUCUUAAAAGCAAGAUGAAAGGAAAAGGCCGCACUCUCUGGCCCGUCCCACUUCUCUGAUCUCCCUCGUCACCCCUUGGGCAUUUCCACACAUGCUCUUGGCUUCUUUCCUCAACCCUAUGCCAUCCACUCUGCCCCCUGGCCAGCAUCCUCUAGCUGGCACCAUGUCAUGUUGGGGUACCAGGGUGGAGACCCUUGGUCUCUGUGGCCAUUGACUUUAUUACUGGCAACUUGGCUGGGCCACCAUGCCCAGAUAUUGGGUCAAAUGCUAGGUUAGAUGUCUCUGUGAAGCUAUGUUUAGAUGAGAUUGGCACUUAUGUCAGUAGACUGAGUAAAGCGGGUGACAUAAUGUGGGUGGGCCUCACCCAAUCCAUCAAGGGCCUUGAGAGAAAAAGACAGAGGUUCCCCGAGGAAGAGGGAGCUCUGCCCCCAGACGGCCUGGACUGCAACCCAACUCUCCCCAGUCCCCGGCUGCCCCUGGCCUGCGGAUUCUGGACCUUCCAACACCCACAAUUUCAGGAGCUGAUUUGUUAAACUAAGUCUCUCUUUCUCUGUAGCUCUGUGAAGUCUUUAUUCUGCCUUAAAUUAUAGCACAAAUGAUGCCAUCUUUCCAUAAAAAUCAUUUAACUCUUGCCUAAAGAACGACUGUCACCGUUACACCUGGCAUUAGGGAGCACUGGGCACUCCAGGCACCUGCCAGAUGCUCCCCACACUGUAAACUAUUGGUCUUCACAGAGAGCUGGGAAAAGGCACCGUUUUUAGCAUGUUACAGAAUAUGCAGAGAGGUUCAGCGACUUGCCCCAGGCCACACAGAGCCACAAAGAUGCAGACCUGUGGUGUCUGUAGUGUCGCAAGGGGAAUGGCAUCCACAAAGUUCCCAGCAGAUAGACCCAGGACACUUAGGUAAGGUCCCAAGCCGUGUGUCCCAAGGGACGGCUUUCUUUCCAUCCCUGGCUCAGCCUCUCUCCCAGGAACCAGAGGCGCUCCAGGAGGGAGGCUGAAGGUAACGCGACACCUGGAUACCAAACAUCCUCAUAGCGACCAACCUUUCUGGAAGAUCAGCCACAAAGCGGAGGUGAGAACUGGGAGCUGGAGCAGGCAGGGCCAGGCUCCCAGUGCCAACCCCAAGACUAGGGGAGCAGGGCUAUGGAGGGGCAGAGCGGCCUCGGCCACAGAAGGGAAGGCACAGGUGUUUUCUGCACAGCCUCACUCCACGGCUUGGGAAGGGAAUCAGAGAGGGUGGAGACUGGAAAAGGACUGUGAGGAAAUUCACAAGCUCAUCGUAACUGGUAGAGCCUGGCGGGAUAACACCCAGCAUGUCAGGGAUGCACUGAAGCCGUGGCCCCAGAAAUCUGGAAACGAGCCCUCGAUUCCGGACAACCAGGGCUGGCUCUGAGGUGCAGCACUGAGCAAGGCUGGUGGCUCCUGCCCGCCCAGAGCUCACGCUGCAGCAGAGGUGACAUGGCACCUGGGUAUGUGAUGGCCUCCAUGCGGUGAUGGGAGGGCACCUGCUGGCACCUCCCCCUCAGGGGCCAGUGUGACGUGUGAACAGGGCCCUGUGUCCCAGCAGUGAGCAGGUCCUGGUCCACACACGGACGACUGAAGGACUGCACUUCUGAAGUGGGGGACAGGGAGGGGAGGGGCGGGAGAGGAAGGAAGAGGAGGAGCUGCUGGACUUCUGACUUUUUUGUACCUUUGCAGGGCAAGGAAGUCUGGAAUUCACAUUAAUAUAAACUAUAAUGCAGAAUCAGUUGAUAAGGACAGUUAGUGAGGAGAUGGUCUUUUGGGGAUAAAAUCUGGCAGGAUUGCUGACCUGGACUCCAUCAUCUAACGUUCUCACACACAAAUGACCAUUACGUUUUGAUGCAUAAAACAAGUAACUUAAUAUGUAUUUUUGUCUGACUACAAAAUCAUUGCAUUCACUUUGGAAAAUACAGAAAAUAAAAAUAAAAUACACUUCAACAGCAUCACCUAGAGAUCUUUUUAUCCUUCUGAUGCCUUUUUAUACAAAAUUAUAACAGCAAUGUAUAUUCUUUGUAACAAAUUUUUCACUCAAACGUUUUUUCAUGAUGCUACUCGUCUGCAUGAUUUUAAGUAGCUGGGUGAAUAUUUCCUGGGAUGUGUGUUUCAAAUUUUAAUCAGGUUUUCUAGUGAUUCUUGGCUGUCAUAAACACUGGCAAAGAAACACACAAGCAAAUCCUUAUCUCACAUCUGAUUGUUUCUCUGGGUUAAUUUCCUACAAGUAGAGGUACAGGCCAAAGGGUAUGGCUAUUUUAAAGUUUCUGAAAUCCGUGCAUGACUUUUAUAUGUGCACGUUAUGGUAACAUGCAUCCACGCGAGCAGAUACAGGGCGCUGUGGGAUUCUGCACCUUGUUCCUUGGCAGGGGGUCCCUGUCACAGGGAGCAUCAUGAUGGGCUCACGCCAUCCUGGGGGCAGCCCGGGUACUGCUCGGAUGGGUUUGUUUGGUGAAAAAACAAAAGGCAAACUCACUUUAACUAGAGACCAUUUGCCUGCAUGGUGGGGAGAGCUGCUCCUGAGGCAAGAACCACAACUCAAAGCUUGACAUCAACGUGGGCAACUGUAGAACCCAAGGCACCGGGGCUGCCUCAAGGGAAUCUCAAGAGUCGCCACCGUGGGCAGGGGCCAUCCGAGGUGGGCUAUGCACUGCCCCAGCUGGGACCCCCUGCCCCCUGCAACCCUGCGCUGAGGUGCACUGCAAGUGGACGCCGUCUCCUCCCAGGCAGCCUGGUUAACCCAACCUCUCUCAGUUACAUCGAAUGUGCCAGAUCCCCAUCCACAACCCUUCCAGUGGGGGCUGCAGGCCAAGCCUCUGUGAGUCCCCUGUGUCCCUGGGGUGGAAUCUCUGGGGCCUGGAGCAAGCGGGUGGUUGGUGUGGCUGUGCACACCAGCACCAGUGGAGGAGCCGCCCUGCCUCUGCCAGCUUCUGGGGAGCCAGCACCCUUGACUGUGGCCCGACCCAGCUGCGAGCCUGUCUCCCUGUAUCUCUCCCCAUCUUCCGUGGACACCAGUGGCUGGAUUAUGGUUCCUACUCCAGGGCGACUCCAUCUGAGCUCAUGCAUCUGCAGAGGCAGCGGCCCCACCUCCACGAGGCAGCGGCCCCACCUCCACGAGGCCACACCCACAGACACUGGGGGUCAGAACUCAACACAUCUUUUCAGGGACACAAUUCUACCCACAAUAGCAGGAAAGGGACCAAGAUAGGCUACGGAGCAGCCACAUGCACGACUGGCUGCAGACACGGGUGCAGGGACAUGAGUGGCCCUGGGGACCCCCUGAGGGUCCUUGCUGACCGACCUGAGGAUCCACCUGGUGCCUAUCCCGGUCCCCACACAAGUCAUUCCCUCCUAGCCAUGCCCUGCUGUGGAGUCCUGAGCAGAAAGCUCUGAGGAGCUGUGGAGGCUCAGUGACCCUUGCCCCGCUCUGAUGCCAGGCCCCAGAAUCCUGGCCAGGAGGAGCAUGCUCAGACCCUGUUGGACGAGGAGCAGGAAUCCGCCGCAUAGAAAAAGAAUUCCUUCAAAAGCAACUUUAGAUUCCACGAGACGUGCCUGGGCCCCAGGUUGGCAGGAGGACGUGAAAAGACAGCGGCAUUCCCUGCUGAGAGUGGCAGAGCUGCUCAGAGAGGCGAAGCACACCCCCAUCGGGACAGGCCAGAUGCUUGGUGAGAAGUGGGUACCAAUGGGAUUCUUCUUGGAAGAGCCAAAAAUGAAGGCAAAGAUGCCUAGAUUCUGGGUUCAGCAAACUACUGUGUGUUGAAGCCCCGAGCUGAAGGAGAGGGAGUGCCUGAAUUGCUGUGGUCGGGCGCAAGAAGGGUCUGUCCGUGCUGUCAGGUGUGAAGGCUGCACUGGCCACAGACCAGGCCUGGGCACCAGGGAUGUGGCCACCAACUGGGUCAGCUAGAGGUGAGGCCCACCCUCAUGGCCGGCUCCUCACAGCACAGCAGGCCUGGCCGACACCACACGGGGACCGCAACCCACCCGCACAUGCAGGCCUCCGAGGAGACAGCACUGCCUCACUAGACGCCGUGGUUUACGCAGAAGGCUCAGCAGCCUGCACCUUCAGAAGUCUUCAGGGCUCUGCCGUGUGCUCACGUGGACACACCUGGAGAACAGGUGCAACGUGGAGGCAUAGCAGACUCCCCUUGGUAGGAAUGCAUGGGAAGAGGGAGGGGCAGGGAGGACCCCAACAUCCCCAGAAGUGUGUGCUUCGAUGCCUGGUCGCUGCAGCCCAACACUGGAGGCCCCUUGGGGUCCCUACCUGAGCUGCGGCACAGUCUGCAGUCAUUCACAGUGCAACCCAAGCCCCCACGCACCACAGAGAGCCACUGGGGUUGGCCGAGUUAUGGCCCCCAAGAUGCUCACGACCUGAUCCUUGGUGCCUGUGAAUGUCACCUUAUGUGGCAAAAGGACCUUGCAGGUAGGAUUAAGUCAGUGACCUUGACCUGGGGAGGUCAUCCUGGACUAUCCAGGAGAUCCAGGGUCAUCCCAGGGUCCUUCCAGCAGGGCAGCGGGAGGCUCAGGCAGGGAGGAGAUGUGAGGAUGGAUGCAGGGGUCUGGGUGGUGCGGCCAUGAGCCCAGGAAUGCAGGCAGCACCUGGGCCUGGAGAGGGCAAGGGAAGGAUUCUCCCUGGAGCCUCCGGAAGGCACUGGCCCUGCUCACACCUUGGUGUUAGAACUUCUGGCCUCCAGAGCUAUAGACCAUGAAUGUGUGUGGUUAGCCACUGUUUGCGGCGAUCUGUCAAUUGCAAUAGGAAACUGACACAGUCCUGGACACCGAAACCCCAAAGCCUCCCUUCCCCAGAAUGACGGCCUAUGCCGCCGCCUGGGAGAGAAACCCCAGCAUCCAUCACACCCACGUUUCAAUGAAACAACCAAAAUGAGCAGGGGACAAGGCAGUCUGCUGGGGUUUAAUGUGUCCCGCAAAGGUCACGUGUGGGAAACCUCACCCCCAACACCGCCAUGUUGGGACGUGGGGCCUAAGAAGAGGUGACCAGGUCUGAGGACCCUGCCCUCGUGACUGGACAAGUGCUGUUUUAGUUCUGAGAGCAAGCUGGGUCCCCUCUCGGGCUCUCUGCUCUCUUGCCCUCUCUGCUGUCUCGCCAGGUGUUGCUGUCGCUUGGGAAGACACAGCUCAGGGGCCCUCACCAGAUGCAGCUCCUCAAUCUUGGGCUUCCAAGCCUCUAGGACCAUGAGCCAAAUAAACUUCCAUUGUGUGUAAACUACCCAAUCCGUGAUACUCUGUGACAGCAGCAGAAAACAGACUAAGACACAGUCCCUGAGGGCAGGCGUCCGGGACAGAAGGCUUCUGCCCUGAAGUUACUGAGGGACCUCGGUGACGCAGACACCUGGGCCACAGCCCGACGCAUGAGGACAGAGGGCCUUCUCCACACCUGCAGGAGGGGCUGCUGCCGUCACAGACAGAACAAGCUUCUGUGUGUCUACUGCGCAUCUCCCACGAUGGAGACAUGCACGAGCAUUCAGAAAGCCUUGUGAGCCUGUGUGCACUCCACAUAUUCUAAACUCGGUUUCCAGCACCUGCGCGUUGCUGCUGUGGACACACCACGCCAGGCCACCGUGCAGCUUGGUUGC